CAAAAGGCUCUUUUCAGAACCAAUUUUUUUUUUUUUUAAAUUUUCU
rfam:Stegodyphus mimosarum contig20804, whole genome shotgun sequence.